UUGGAGGGCAAGUCUGGUGCCAGCAGCCGCGGUAAUUCCAGCUCCAAUAGCGUAUAUUAAAGUUGUUGCAGUUAAAAAGCUCGUAGUUGAAUUUCGGGAUCAGUUGGUCGGUCGUGCCUCGGUACGUACUGGUCAAAUUGAUUCCUACCUUCUGACGAACCACGAUGUCAUUAAUUUGGUGUCGCGGGAAAUCAGGACUGUUACUUUGAAAAAAUUAGAGUGUUUAAAGCAGGCUCGCGCUUGAAUACAUUAGCAUGGAAUAAUGAAAUAGGACGUUUGAUUCUAUUUUGUUGGUUUCUAGGAUCGACGUAAUGAUUAAUAGGGAUAGUUGGGGGCAUUAGUAUUCAAUUGUCAGAGGUGAAAUUCUUGGAUUUAUUGAAGACUAACUACUGCGAAAGCAUUUGCCAAGGAUGUUUUCAUUAAUCAAGAACGAAAGUUAGGGGAUCGAAGACGAUCAGAUACCGUCGUAGUCUUAACCAUAAACUAUGCCGACUAGGGAUCGGAUGAUGUUAAUUUUUUAAUGACUCAUUCGGCGCCUUACGGGA
rnacentral:rRNA from 1 species